rnacentral:lncRNA from 1 species
AACAGUCGGUCACUCUCGGCCAUUGCGGCAAUUUUUCUGAACAAUUUUAUACUCGUCCGUAUCAUAUACAUACAAAGAGAGAAAGAGUGACUAUAAUACAAACUUCUUUUCAGAGUUCAAAGCCUUUCUAAGGCUAAGCACGCGAGGGGUAUGAAUAUUUAUGCCGAGAUCGACUUUGAUUUAAUUUUAAAAUUUCUCAGUCCGGCAGCGGAAUUAAAAUUUUUGAUGAGCUAGGUUCUCGAGGAAGUUUCGCAAUAGCUCUGUUUUUUCGAAUUUUCUAGCGACCACAGCGUGAAAUUGAUCGAAGCCCCGAUUUUCGCGCAGCGUUUCUAAUGCCUUGCGAAAUGCCGGCGUUGGUCAGCGACCUCUUCGUUGGACACGAUUUUCCUCAAAAUUAGGAAAUCAACGACAAAGUCUCGUUGCGCAAUGAUCGCGCGGCGAGAGAAGAAUUUUCCACGUAAAUCAAAAAUAGAAUCGCAUGCAGCCCAUAAAGUGUCGCCCCUCCUCUUCUCCUUGACAUUAUCUCCUCUAUCCAGCCAUUCCAACGUAUAUCCAGAGUCAGCCAACCGCAGGCAUAUAGCAAAAAUUCGCGUCUAUCUCUAUCUCUGUCCGGUAUGCCUUCAACCUAAGUCUAUACGGCUCUCUCUCUCUCUCACUCUCUCUCUCUCUCUCUCUCUCUCUCUCUCUCUCUCUCUCUCUCUCUCUCUCUCUCUCUCAGUAGCUCAGCGCCGAUAAAAGGAAAUCGUGCUCUCUCUUCUGUUUCUCGUGCAGGUAUAUACGUGCUGUUGGCGUCCUUGAAAGAGAAGCGUUACGAGAGUGCUAUACCCUUCGAUUCUCCUGUCCCAGAUAUAUGUGUACACAGACACUCACACACGCGCUCUCGGUUCGCUGCUGCUGCUGCUCUGCACUUUACUUUAGCUGUUUUUCUUCGCAGAGGCAAUUAGAACGACCAGGACGGACAAUGCGGGGCUUCUUUCGAGAUCAGCUGCUCUGCUCUGUGAGGCAUUCGCGCUUUUGUUUCAGUUUAUCUUGAUGUUGUGGACCAGGAGAUCCAAUGCGAUAGGGUUUGUUUAUUGGAAAAUUAGAGGGGCGGAGGAGUGUGUAGGUUGCGCGCGGGAUUUUUUUUCGGCGGAGAGGUUUAGCAGCUCUUUCAUAACUUUAUCAAUGAUGUGCUUCGGUGCUUUGUUUCAUCCUCUAUUUAUUGAACUACUGCGUAAGAUUCAAUUCUCAGAUUGGUGUUCCUGGUCUUGGAUUGCGAUAAGAUUGUUACUAUGAAUCGAGAUCUUAAUGAACGGUUUUGUAAUAACGAAACUCCUAGCUUCGUUAUUUAGCAUUUUGAAACUUACUCUUAUCUUUGUGCUUUUCGCCUUAACACCGAAAUUACUGGUUGUUUCGUACGAAAAUCUGCCUCGAGAAAUCGUCGCACAGAAUAAUCAUCGUCCGAAGGCGAUUCGCCACGGUGAAAAGGCGAGUCGGAUCUCGCUGGUGGAUUAAUGGCGUUUUCGAGUGCUCAAAAUUGCUGCUAAAAUUGGCGCUGCUGCUGCUGCUAGUUCGCGCCUGCUUGGGACGUUAAAAAUAGCGAGCCAAGAGAGCGAGUUCGCUCCGCUACGGCAGGGCAAAUAAAAUCACGGGCCGAACCGAGCUACCGCGUGGCUAAUAUAGACUCCGCUCUGCCGCUGCAGCUUGGACUGUAGGCGACAGUGUAGCGAGUCGUCUUUCAACGUGCAGUUGAGGCUAGUAGCUUGUGGAUUAGUUUUGAUUCAGUUUUGAUGCGGUGUGCAGAUUUUAAUCUGCUCGCGUGCUAUAAGCACUAUGAGGAAACUGAUAAGCUCGAUAACUUUCCACUCUGAAUUAUGGAUCAUUCACAUUGGUAAAUUCAAUAUAAUUCGAUAAUCUAUAGUGAUUCACGACAAAAACUCACUCUAAAUAUUACAAUAUGCAUAUAUAGGGCUUUGACUGUGGUGCGAAUUUCGCUGCGCAAUAUCGUCAGUGCUUGUAUAGCAUAUGCGUAGUGUGGUUAUCGUGUCUUUCGUCGAUUAUCGAAAACAAUGACACAUCCUAUUACGCAGUCAUUGUAUACUCUGAUUAAAUCAGCUGACAGCUCAGUAGUUGCUCUCUGUCUUCGCACUGAAAACACUGAGAAACUAGAACAGCGUGAUAAAAUGUUUCCUUUCAUUCGUGCGAUAAAAACGUUUGCAUUAUUACUAAAAAAGCCUAUUUAAAUAAUAACCCAAUCCUCUGUAUAUACUGAAUUACUGGAGACAACUUCUUCGAGCAUAAUAUCUGAGCUUACGACAGCGAGUAUGACAAGUGCCACGCAGCACAUCUCGCAGUAGCUUUCAGAGUUGUCCCUCAUUCAUUAUUUAACUCGCAUCCUUGCCAUGCAGCAGCAGCAGCCUACAUAACGGGCCCUUGCAGGCUUUCGCUCUUUCCCUUCCCUCUCGACUCGUCAGCUGAUCGACGCGAAGCGCUGCCCACAAGCGCGUUCGUCGCGCCUCUCCUACGUCACAAAGAAACGGCGGGUUGCUGCACUCGCUCGCUUCUUUGUGCGCCGCGCGCGCGGUUUCCUUAUCUUUGUUUCUCCCGCCGAGUCGUUGCUGCUGCCGCUGUUUUUUGUUCUUGUUCGUUUUAUGCGCGUUUCGCUGUCUUUCUCCUUCCUUCUCUGCAGCGACGCGCGAGAGGCCUUGGCGAACGAAAGAAAAAGAGACACUGUGUGGGACUGACUCAUCGCGGCGUUGUCGAUGCGCUCAGCGUGUGUCUCUUGCACUUGACUCGAUGCGACUUUACUUUGAGGUCUGAGGGCGAGGGAAGGAUUAUAGCUUUGGGUUUAAGAGCUUCACAAGAGAAGGAUCGGAGUUAUAGAUUGUUUGGAAAGGAGAUCGAGACACAUUUCGCAUAGACGCUUCUCUCGAACUAAAUUGACGGUUGCGUGCUCCAGUUUGGCCACAGUUUGUAGUAGGUAUACAGUUGAAGAAGGCUGAUGGAAGUAUGCCACGAUAGAACUGCUCGUAUACUUUCCUGUAAAUAAUUCACCUCUCGAGAGCUGCCUCGAUUUCAAUACGCCAGGGGAGCCGCACCUGAGGCAGAGGCACCUGAGUCACGUAAACGUUGAUGAUUCUCGCGCACGCAGCGCUAAUUUCACCUUAUAAAAAAUGACGAAACCAUAACAUGUUAUUAUGAAAUUCAAUACUGCGCCGCGUGCGAAUAUAUUAUCGUGAAUGAAGCUUGACCUCGCGGCUGUCAAGAAAAUUGCGCUGGACAUUGCGCCUUUCAAACCGGCCCUUUUUUCUCUCUCCUCCUUUCCACUCUCUCUCUCUCUCUCUCUCUCUCUCUCUCUCUCUCUCUCUCUCUCUCUCUCUCUCUUUUCAUUCAUUUGCCAUCGUCCGAAGAGGUUCACAGCGAGAUGUGCCUCUUUUCGGUGCGUGCUUUUGCGUUGGCGUCUUCGCGAGAGGGAGAGCGACUUACAUUUAUAAUGGCCCGUGGAACCUGCGACAUUCGAUGCAUAAAUAAAUUUGCAACACACACUAUAAAAUUGGGUAACGCGAAAAAUUCUUAUCCGCUUCUGAUACAGCCAGAAUUGGUUAGCUAGUCGUUGGCACGGCGAACGGGAAGCACGCCCUAAACUUGAUCCCAACCUCGAAUAAAUCCCGAAUUUUCCUCAGUCAUCACCGUCGUCGUAGAGCGCGACCUUCGUGACGCAACGAUCGAUGCUCUGCAUAAUGUACCAGGGCGAAAAGCGCGUAUGUGUAAUUGCGAUCGGUCGAGGCUUUUGGCCGAAAAAGGCUCGUCGCGAGACGAUCAGUGACUUUCGCGCUCUCGUGGCCCCGCGGGCAGUAGGUCGCGAGGACCUUGGCAGAGUUCGCUCCUGCAUGUCGCGGUCCCCUUUUUCGACGAUUUUUUCGUAAUCGAGUUACGGUGCCCUCGCGGAUGCACGUGUAACAGCUGGAGGACUUGUUUGUUCGCUCUUCAUCCCGGAGUUAUUUCUCGGUGGAUUUUUCUGAGAAAUAAAAAUUAUUGUACGCCGAAGACGGCAUAGGGUAUCUUGUUUUAUUAAAAAUGCGCGUAUAUCUUUUUAAACUGAAGAAAACUAAAACUGCCUCUCGGGUGAAAAGUUUGUGGCGAUACAAUGGCUAUCUAAUCUUCGCGUUGGCCAACGACAUUAGCAAAACAACAUUUAACCUCCGCGAUAGCUUUAGCGCUUCUAACCUUGAAGUAUCCGGCUUAUCGGCUAGCGCACGUUGUGCUACGUACAACAGCAGUAUACACUACAUCGUUCUGAAGUAACAUUGUAAUUCUGUUUUCAGAAAAAAAUAGAUAAUAUUGUGUACAAACAAAGAGCAGAUAGAAUGAAAAGAUGCGACGUCACUCUCGCGCGAUCGUCAAUCUUCAUUUGUUGUGCUGAAGCUAUUUUCCAAUAUCGAGUUUGCCUUGUUACACCACCCACGAUCCGUCGUCCGAUCGCGGCCAACGCCUAGGGCAAUGUCAGUUCAGAAACUCCGAACAGCUGAUAUCUGCGCAGUGCAGUUACAGCGAUCGAGGUGUGUUUACGAUGGCGCAAACACUGUAUCUCGGAAGUCAAUUUCGAUUCGCAUAGCCCAAGGAAAUCAUGUGACGAUAUGAUAGAAAUCGACGUCUUACAACUUCCCGACGACAAAGCAAGUUGAAAACAUACAAUCGAUUCAGCGAAACAACAAUACCAGCGCGUCAUCGUCGAACGGAAAUUUUUAUGAUUGAAUAGCAAACACAUGCGGACCUCUUCAGCUUCUCCCCGAAUCAACCGGAAUUCCGUCCACCUCUAACAAACAAUCUCCAGAACAACAACCCGAUUUAACAAACAGACGCUUCCUCCGAGAGCGAAAAAAAGAAGCCGAGCCGCUCUAUUUCUCGCGACUCAUUUAUUCCCACCACCAGUCUCUCUUUCUUCUUCGUAUUCCCUCUUCUCGCGAAAGAGAGACUUGGCGCCUCGGCGUCGCUUAAAUAUAAAUCGGACCGCGGGAGUGGCCGAACUUUCAGUCUUGGCGUCGCGACGCUCGCGAAACGCACGCCUCGAGCAUCUCUCCACAAUUUUCUCAAGUAUUGUGGCAGCGUCUCUCUGCGAUAGUGAAAAGCCAUUUUUGCUGGCGCGAGUGCACAGUUUUAAAUUUCAUUUGGAAUCGCUCAAUUUGUGGUUGGAGUUAUUUCGUCCAUUCGGCGAGAUUUAAGAGGAUCGUGAGAGAAGUUUUUGGAAGAGGCCGAGAACGGAAAGAAAGGGAUUUGGAGGUACCCCUGGACCUGUGGAGAAACUUUUGGACUGGCUUGUUUGCGUUUCUUCUGAGCGAGCAACGAAAAUCAAGUGUCCAGAGUUGCAAGGAAUACCUUUCUUUAUCCAAGAGAAUCUGCCACUCGACACUGCCACUCCUCUCUCGGCGACGAAAAGAAAAAUAAACUGUUUACCGUCAUCUGCGAAGGCGUUCGAGAGAAAAAAAAAACACAAUAAAUAUCGACAAGAGAAAGGGGACACAGCAUCAGCGGCGGUGACGAAAAAAA